rnacentral:snoRNA from 1 species
UUUCCAAGAUGAUCCUAUAAUUCAGUUCUGCUUCCGAAGGAGAGAUAAUCUCUUGUGGACAACCUGAUACCAAAAGACUCUCAACUGAUAC